GAUGAACGCUGGCGGCGUGCCUAAUACAUGCAAGUCGAGCGAACGGACGAGAAGCUUGCUUCUCUGACGUUAGCGGCGGACGGGUGAGUAACACGUGGAUGACCUACCUAUAAGACUGGGAUAACUUCGGGAAACCGGAGCUAAUACCGGAUGAUAUUUUGAACCGCAUGGUUCAAAAGUGAAAGACGGUCUUGCUGUCACUUAUAGAUGGAUCCGCGCUGCAUUAGCUAGUUGGUAAGGUAACGGCUUACCAAGGCAACGAUGCGUAGCCGACCUGAGAGGGUGAUCGGCCACACUGGAACUGAGCCACGGUCCAGACUCCUACGAGAGGCAGCAGUAGGGAAUCUUCCGCAAUGGGCGAAAGCCUGACGGAGCAACGCCGCGUGAGUGAUGAAGGUCUUCGGAUCGUAAAACUCUGUUAUUAGGGAAGAACAUAUGUGUAAGUAACUGUGCACAUCUUGACGGUACCUAAUCAGAAAGCCACGGCUAACUACGUG
rnacentral:rRNA from 1 species